GACGGAGCAAUACCGCGUGAGGGAUGACGGCCUAUGGGUUGUAAACCUCUUUUUCAGGGAGGAAUCAAUGACGUGUACCUGAAGAAUAAGCAUCGGCUAACUCCGUGCCAGCAGCCGCGGUAAGACGGAGGAUGCAAGUGUUAUCCGGAAUCACUGGGCGUAAAGCGUCUGUAGGUGGUCCAAUAAGUCAACUGUUAAAUCUUGAGGCUCAACCUCAAAAUCGCAGUCGAAACUAUUAGACUCGAGUAUAGUAGGGGUAAAGGGAAUUUCCAGUGGAGCGGUGAAAUGCGUAGAGAUUGGAAAGAACACCGAUGGCGAAGGCACUUUACUGGGCUAUUACUAACACUCAGAGACGAAAGCUAGGGUAGCAAAUGGGAUUAGAUACCCCAGUGGUCCUAGCCGUAAACAAUGGAUACUAGAUGUUGAACAGAUCGACCUGUGCAGUAUCAAAGCUAACGCGUUAAGUAUCCCGCCUGGGAAGUAUGCUCGCAAGAGUG
rnacentral:rRNA from 1 species